rnacentral:rRNA from 1 species
GAUGAACGCUGGCGGCGUGCCUAAUACAUGCAAGUCGAGCGAACAGACGAGGAGCUUGCUCCUCUGACGUUAGCGGCGGACGGGUGAGUAACACGUGGAUAACCUACCUAUAAGACUGGGAUAACUUCGGGAAACCGGAGCUAAUACCGGAUAAUAUAUUGAACCGCAUGGUUCAAUAGUGAAAGACGGUUUUGCUGUCACUUAUAGAUGGAUCCGCGCCGCAUUAGCUAGUUGGUAAGGUAACGGCUUACCAAGGCAACGAUGCGUAGCCGACCUGAGAGGGUGGUAGGCCACACUGGAACUGAGACGCGGUCCAGACUCCUACGGGAGGCAGCAGUAGGGAAUCUUCCGCAAUGGGCGAAAGCCUGACGGAGCAACGCCGCGUGAGUGAUGAAGGUCUUCGGAUCGUAAAACUCUGUUAUUAGGGAAGAACAAAUGUGUAAGUAACUAUGCACGUCUUGACGGUAACGAAUCAGAAAGCCACGGCUAACUACGUG